GAAAACUGAAUACCUGAUAAAGAUCGGUAACAGGGGCGAGGUUGCAAACUAUAGAAAGGCUGACCAGGAGCUGAUUGAUUCUCUUGAAAAAUGUGCUGUGGACAAAUCCUUUAAACAGUGGAAAAAUAAGUUUCCACAAAAGGUGGUUCAGAAAUUGGAAGGUAGAAAGCCCUACACUGAAAACACGUUGGCAUUACUGCGCUUCAUACGCAUUCUCCUUGUGCAUUAUCCCGAGGAAGCAGCCCAAAUUGAUGUUCUGGCAUUGUUUCCUGAUCUCUUUGGGAGUAUUUACACAUUUGCAAAAAACCAAGGCUGGAAUUCAGAGACACCAUUAAAGGAAAUGUUUCAAAGAGAAGACAGCGAGGAUAGUAGCACAGUUUUGAUGAUGCCAUCUAAAAGCACGGAGGAGUCCCUGGGUAUCCCCGUUCAAGAGUCUCAACCCAGUGAAGUGAAAGUUGUCAGCAGCCAUAAAAAGUAAAAUAAUAACUGCUAGUAGUAGCAGAGAUGUCAUGUCGGUGUGCCUCCUGCUGCUCUGUUAGUUCUUAAGGGAUCACGACAGAAGACACUGAUCUGCUGUGGUGAUCCACAUGUUUGCACAUAGUUGUCCUUCCUUACACAACACUCCAUUUUACCAGCACUAACAUUGCAGCAUGUUCAAGCUAGGUCUGCUCCUUAAUGGAGCCACAACCAAGACCCUUAGACUGAACCAGCUAAAUGGAUUUUAGACACGAUGUAUGAUUUAUACUUGUGUGAAAUAAGUGCCUGAUGUUUUGAAAAAGUAACUAUUGAUUUUUAAAAGUAUGAGAGAAAUAGGUUAGAAUUACAAUUGUUUGAGUCUCUUUACUCUAUUAUUUUAA